ACAGGGAUUGCCUCAGUAACGGCGAGUGAAGCGGCAAUAGCUCAAAUUUGAAAUCUGGCUCUUUCAGGGUCCGAGUUGUAAUUUGCAGAGGGCGCUUUGGUGUCGGCAGCGGCCUAAGUUCCUUGGAACAGGUCAUCAUAGAGGGUGAGAAUCCCGUAUGUGGCUGACUGUCUUCACCGUGUAAAGCCCCUUCGACGAGUCGAGUUGUUUGGGAAUGCAGCUCUAAAUGGGAGGUAAAUUUCUUCUAAAGCUAAAUAUUGGCCAGAGACCGAUAGCGCACAAGUAGAGUGAUCGAAAGAUGAAAAGCACUUUGGAAAGAGAGUCAAAAAGCACGUGAAAUUGUUGAAAGGGAAGCGCUUGCAGCCAGACGUGCCCGCAGUUGCUCAUCCGGGGUUCUCCCCGGUGCACUCUUCUGUGGGCAGGCCAGCAUCAGUCCGGGCGGUUGGAGAAAGACCUGUGUCAUGUAGCUGUUUUCGGGCAGUGUUAUAGGGCAGGUGGAAUGCAACCAGCCUGGACUGAGGUCCGCGCAUCUGCUAGGAUGCUGGCGUAAUGGCUGUAAGCGGCCCGUCUUGAAACACGGACCAAGGAGUCUAACAUCUAUGCGAGUGUUUGGGUGUCAAGCCCGAGCGCGUAAUGAAAGUGAACGGAGGUGGGAACCUUAGGGUGCACCAUCGACCGAUCCUGAUGUCUUCGGAUGGAUUUGAGUAAGAGCAUAGCUGUUGGGACCCGAAAGAUGGUGAACUAUGCCUGAAUAGGGUGAAGCCAGAGGAAACUCUGGUGGAGGCUCGCAGCGGUUCUGACGUGCAAAUCGAUCG
rnacentral:rRNA from 2 species